rnacentral:rRNA from 1 species
CGAGGACGACGCUGGCGGCGUGCCUAACACAUGCAAGUCGAACGGAGUUUGCCCCUUCGGGGGUAAACUUAGUGGCGGACGGGUGAGUAACGCGUGAGCAACCUGCCUAGAAGAGGGGGAUAACGGCUGGAAACGGUCGCUAAUACCGCAUGACAUUCCACUACCGCAUGGUGGAGGAAUCAAAGGAGCAAUCCGCUUUUAGAUGGGCUCGCGUCCGAUUAGCUAGUUGGUGGGGUAACGGCCUACCAAGGCGACGAUCGGUAGCCGAACUGAGAGGUUGAUCGGCCACAUUGGGACUGAGACACGGCCCAGACUCCUACGGGAGGCAGCAGUGGGGGAUAUUGCACAAUGGGGGAAACCCUGAUGCAGCAACGCCGCGUGAGGGAAGACGGUUUUCGGAUUGUAAACCUCUGUCCUUGGUGACGAUAAUGACGGUAGCCAAGAAGGAAGCCACGGCUAACUACGUGCC